rnacentral:lncRNA from 1 species
CCGCUUCUGGUACACAGUCUUUACUCCUACCGGGGCCAAAAUGACAAUCUUCACACACCUGCCCUCCUGUGUCCCUACUGCACAGAGAAGAAUGCUUUCCUCCUGAGGAGGAAGAGUUGGUACUUUCCUGGAGUCUGCUGGGGAAACUUAAAUAGGGGAAACACCCGUGGAACUGGGGAUAAUAAACCUCAGAACCUGAUAUAAGAAGUACCUGUGCACAAAGAACUUCACAGAAUUCAUGCCCUGAGAAGUCUGAGCAGUGGGUGGGUCUAGGCCUCAAAUGACCCAUGAAGAUGGUUACACAGAGGGGUCUUACCACCCAGGGACCACCCCAUCAGUCCAACCGUGGGACUCAUCCUAGAAUAUGCACCUAAACAAUGUUUUAAAAAAUUAUGUCUUUCAGUGGAUUAGAACGUGAUAUAUAUUCAUUAGAAAAUGAAGAAAGUUUUGAACAAGAAAAUAAAAAUCCCAGAAAAUUUCAC